CCUACGGGUGGCAGCAGUGGGGAAUAUUCGGCAAUGGAGGAAACUCUGACCGAGCAACGCCGCGUGAGUGAUGAAGGUCUUCGGAUCGUAAAGCUCUGUGAUGGGGGAUGAACAAAAUGAUGGUUCACUAAUAGCAAGCUGCGGGUAACUACGGGCCAGCAGCCGCGGUAAUACGUAGGUGGCAAGGGUUAUCCGGAAUGACUGGGCGUAAGGGGCGCGUAGGUGGUUUAGUAAGUUGGCGGUGUAAUUCCGUGGCUCAACCUGGGCGAUACCGCCGAAACUAGUAGACUAGAGUGCAGGAGAGGAGAGUGGAAUUCCAAGUGUAGCGGUGGAAUGCGUAGAUAUAAGGAGGAACAUCAGGGGCGAAGGCGACUUUCUGGUCUGUAACUGACGCUGAGGCACGAAAGCGUGGGGAGCAAACAGGAUUAGAUACCCGGGUAGUC
rnacentral:rRNA from 1 species